rnacentral:lncRNA from 1 species
GUCCCUCGUAUGCUUCAUUCAUCCUUCCUCAAAUCCCCCCAAUUUUGAGAAAAUACAAAUUGGUUGGCCGGAUGGAUGGGCAAUCCAUCGUUUCCAUACAUCCUAAGAUUUUUUUUUGAACUAAGCAGUGGAUAGGACAAUCCAUCCUUCCGACACAAUCCCAAGCCAUACAACCUUCUAAUUCUAUGUAUCCUCCCUCUCAUGACCCUAAUAGCACUAGGUCAGUGACGGAAGACAUGACAUGAGGGAGCAGUGAGGAAAUAAGGAGGGAAGACAC